CCACCAUUUUCCACCUGUGGCUGAAGACGAGUUGAUGAGACGCCCCCGAUAACAAGAAGUCAUUUCUUUGUUUGAUCAGCUUUACAGGGUUCCUUCUGGCAACCUCCUAGUGAUAGUUAGUGUAUGUGGCAGUGCAAAAAAUGCAGUUUGGAACUAGAUAGCAGUUCUCAGACGUCUUAAAAUUGUGCAGCAGAGACCAAUGAUAGAAGAGUUCAAAAACAGAUGGCCUGCACUGUUUGAAGAGAAUGAAGUAGAUUUGUGCUGUGAAUGCAGAGUUCUUGCGAAUCACCACCAAGUC